CGACCCUCUCCGGGAGUGCAUUACGCCCCUGCUGGUACCCAGGACCCCUCUGCGCUCCGAGGGUUGACUUUUGUUUCUCGCGAGUGAUGGAGUGGGAGUGGCCGGUGGCGCUGCACUGACCGUCCGGAGGGCAGAAAGAGGGUGGGGUCCCAGGGGCGGGGCUGUCGGCGGAACAAAGGGCUCUAGAAACGUGGGAUACGCUGUGUAACCUAGUAUUUAAAACCACACGACAGGCGCCCCCCCACCCCGCCCUGGGAUUCAGUUCAUCUAUUGUCAAGUAAGAGGGUGGGUUCCAAGGGUGGCCCACGCCCGAGUAACAAACUUUCUUAUCUUCCGUCGCGGCGACCUGGAGGUCCGAGGCUUCUUGCUGCGGUUGAAGGGUGGGGAAUACGACUAAAAACUGCAGCCCAGCGCGCGCGAGACGACCCGAGACCCACGCGCACUCGCACGAGCGCAUGCACAGACUUGGAGCACCGACCCUCCCUUCAGAUCCGCAGUCUCUAGCAAAUGUCCUCAAGGUUCAUCCAUGCUGUGGCCUGUGUCAGAAUUCCCUCUCUUUAUAAGCUGUCUGUGCCUGGAGAUCCAAUCAAGUACUCAACAGUGUGCUCGGAGCUCAGUGCAUGGAUAAGCUGCUGGAAGAAAGGGUCAGCAAGGGCCUGAUGACAUCAGAACUUGGGCAAGGCUUCUUCUUUUGUGUGCUGGGAAACGGCUGCUGCUGGCCAAAGUGUUUUGUCUGUGCUUGUGAAGGGUGAGUGGGGACAGCUGGGACCCACACCUGGAAGAAUGCGGGUGCUGCUUUCUAAGAUCGGGAAGGCUGUGGGAAAGCAGGCUUGAAGGGAAACCGCACAGUAAGUUGGAGGUUCUGAUGGAGAUGCUGAGUAGGCAGCUGACCGUAUGCACUGGAGCUCAGGCGAGAGGUUGGCUCCAGAGAAAACAGUGUGGGAGUCAUCUGCGUGCAGAAGGAAUUAAGCCAUGGGCUGGGAGCUGGAGAGAACAGGACGCUGGAUGCUUCUGCAGCACAGGCGGGACUAUGAGGAACAACCAGCCAAGGAGCCUGAGAAGGAGGGACCUGGAGGGACGAGGCACCAAGACAGAGGAGCGCCCUGGAAAUCAAAUGCUGCCCGUUGAGCAAGGAAGAGACUAAGAUGUGGCGUGGUGACCUUGGUGGAAGCAGUUUAGUGAAAUGUCAGGAAAGAAGCGAGUUCACAAGAGCAAGGGAAGAGAGGAAUUGAAGACAGCACACAUGAAGCCUUUUUCCAGGAGUUUUGCUGUAGAGGGAAGCAGAGAUACGGGGAGAUAAUCGGAGUGAAUGUAUGAUCAAAGGAAGAUUUUUGUUGUUGUUUUGAGACAGGAUCUCAUUCUGUCGCCCAGGCUGGAGUGCAGUGGUACAAUCAUAGCUCACUGCAGCCUGGAACUCCUGGACUCAAGUGAUCCUCCCACCUCAGCCUCCAAAGUAGCUGGGUCUACAGGUGCACACCACUACGCCUGGCUAAUUUUUCAUUUUUUGUAGAGACAAGGUCUUACUAUAUGCCCAGGCUGACCUCCAACUCCUGACUUCAUGUAGUCCUCCCACCUCGGCCUCCCAAAGCACUGGGAUUACAGAUGUGAGCCACCUUGCCCAGCUGGUGACGGAGCGGUUUUCUUAUCCAUCAUCUUUGAAUCUUUGUUCUUAAUGAAAUUCAUGCCAGACAAAGGCUCACAAUCUAACCUGGUCACAGAAAGAGGAGGGGGUGAAUCAAACACCCUCGGAAACCUUGCUUUUUCUCUUCGAAGCGGCCUCUUUCGCCUUCUGCUGCUGGGCGGUUUUGCAUUUAUGGGCUGUGAACUACCCGGGGACCAGGACCCCCGUGCUUCAUCUGAGCGUUCUGCAAUUGCAGAACCUGGAGAAUAAAACUGUCCUGGCCGAGUGAUCUUGCAGGAGCAAGAAUCGAAUAACUGCCAUCGCUUUCUGAAAGCAAAAGCAGCUCUCAACCUGCCCGCUUCCUUCCCACCUGCCACCUAGUGGCCCCCUGCAGAAUGACAUGGGCGGCAGUGAAGGGCUCCCGUUACCAUUCGGCUCUCUUAUCUGAUCUUCACAGGGUAUUAGCUCGGGAAGG